rnacentral:rRNA from 1 species
UGGGGAAUUUUGGACAAUGGGGGAAACCCUGAUCCAGCCAUCCCGCGUGUGCGAUGAAGGCCUUCGGGUUGUAAAGCACUUUUGGCAGGAAAGAAACGUCGCGGGUUAAUACCCCGCGAAACUGACGGUACCUGCAGAAUAAGCACCGGCUAACUACGUGCCAGCAGCCGCGGUAAUACGUAGGGUGUAAGCGUUAAUCGGAAUUACUGGGCGUAAAGCGUGCGCAGGCGGUUCGGAAAGAAAGAUGUGAAAUCCCAGAGCUUAACUUUGGAACUGCAUUUUUAACUACCGGGCUAGAGUGUGUCAGAGGGAGGUGGAAUUCCGCGUGUAGCAGUGAAAUGCGUAGAUAUGCGGAGGAACACCGAUGGCGAAGGCAGCCUCCUGGGAUAACACUGACGCUCAUGCACGAAAGCGUGGGGAGCAAACAGGAUUAGAUACCCUGGUAGUCCACGCCCUAAACGAUGUCAACUAGCUGUUGGGGCCUUCGGGCCUUGGUAGCGCAGCUAACGCGUGAAGUUGACCGCCUGGGGAGUACGGUCGCAAGAUUAAAACUCAAAGGAAUUGACGGGGUCGAUAC